GCCCCGCCCCCGCGGCCCGCUGCUAAGUGAGUCCCACCGGCGGAGCUGGCCCGGGCGCUGUGCCCUCGCUCGGCUCUCUCCGCCCCCCGCGCGGGCCGCGGGCUGCGCCGGGUCGCGGCGGGCCCCGCAGGCAGCCAUGGCGGCGGGCGCCGGGGCCAGGCCGGCGCCGCGCUGGGUAAAGGCGCUAGGUGAGCCGCUCAGUGCCGCGCAGCUGCGGCGGCUGGAGGAGCACCGCUACACCGCGGUGGGAGAGUCGCUGUUCGAGCCGCCGCUGCAGCUUUACUGGACCUGGCUGCUCCAAUGGAUCCCGCUCUGGAUGGCCCCCAACACCAUCACCCUCAUCGGCCUCGCCAUCAACCUGGUCACCACACUAGUGCUCAUCUUCUACUGCCCUACAGUCACGGAGGAGGCACCAUACUGGACAUACCUUUUAUGUGCCCUGGGACUCUUUAUCUACCAGUCACUGGAUGCCAUUGAUGGGAAACAAGCCAGAAGGACAAACUCUUGCUCUCCCUUAGGGGAACUAUUUGAUCAUGGUUGUGACUCUCUUUCCACAGUAUUUAUGGCCAUCGGCGCUUCCAUUGCUGUUCGCCUAGGAACACAUCCUGACUGGUUGUUUUUCUGCUCUUUCGUUGGGAUGUUCAUGUUUUACUGUGCUCAUUGGCAGACUUACGUCUCAGGAGUGUUAAGAUUUGGAAGGGUGGAUGUCACUGAGAUCCAGGUAGCUUUAGUGAUCGUCUUCAUGUUGUCAACAUUUGGAGGAGCAACAAUGUGGGACUAUACGUUGUCUUGAACAACAGUUGACCAACAGAUACCUAUUCUAGAAAUAAAACUGAAGAUUGUUCCGGUUCUUGGAGUUGUAGGUGGAUUAAUAUUUUCCUGUUCAAAUUAUUUCCAUGUGAUCCUCCAUGGUGGUGUUGGCAAGAAUGGGUCUACUAUUGCAGGCACCAGUGUCUUGUCACCUGGACUCCACAUAGGAUUAAUUAUUAUAUUGGCAAUAAUGAUCUAUAAGAAGUCUGCAACAAAUAUGUUUGAAAAACAUCCUUGCCUUUAUACUUUAAUGUUUGGAUGUGUCUUUGCUAAAGUUGCACAAAAAUUGGUGAUAGCUCACAUGACGAAAAGUGAACUAUAUCUUCAAGACACUGUCUUUAUUGGGCCAGGUCUUUUAUUUUUAGACCAAUACUUUAAUAAUUUUAUAGAUGAAUAUGUUGUUCUGUGGAUAGCAAUGGUCAUUUCUUCAUUUGAUAUGAUGAUAUACUUUACUUCUUUGUGCCUGCAAAUUUCAAGACACCUUCAUCUAAACAUCUUCAAGACUUCAUGUCAACAAGCACCGGAACAGGUUUACAAGCAUAUUGACUGACUAGUAGCCCAAGGAAAAGAGGAGAAGCAGUUAGGGGAACCUAUGUGUGAAGGAUAUCCCCCUAUACAGGAGGCUAGUAUACUAUCUAUAAGGUUAUGUUUAAGUAUAAAAUAUAAAUCUGUAGCUUCCAUUAUGUCUACAUCAAUAAUGAAUCCCUUGUCGUUGACUUAUCACGUAAGUUAUCAAUGUAAUAUAAUGUAUGCAUUAGAAACAAGAACAAAAAAUAAAUUUAAAUAUUAAGGACAAUAGGAAAUUGUACCCCAAUAAGUCUAAAUAGCAUUAUGUCUACAAAACAUCUAUCAGACUUGGGGUUUUGAUUGCCAAAGGAUUACACAAAUAUUCAGAACUUAAAAGAACUUCUAUCCAUCUUGUCAAUGACAUUUGAUUGAUACAACUUGAAAAGUGAGCACAUAAUACUAAGUAUCUAAUGAUAAUACUAUAACUGAGUCAAAGUCAAGUGAUAUACUGAGAUAUUUGUAUGUACUAACCAUUGUUCAAAAGAGGUAUGCUAACUAUAGACAUACUUUAGUAUGCUAUCUAGAUUUAAAACAAUGAUUGUGGGAUUCUGUUGUACUAAUUCAGCAUAACACGAAUCUUUGAGGGUAGCUUGUGCCUUAAACUUGUGUCCAAGUAAACAAUUUAUUUCCAUGGGAAAAAAAUGAACCUUAAGUCCCCAAAGACAAACAAAAAAGUAGCUCAAAUAAUUGAUAGGUAAGGAAAUUGGUAACUUGGGAAAAUGGCAAAAAAGGUGUAAGGGGGGAAAAAUAAGUGUCAGUAUUCAACACUGGGUACAUUAGGUACUGAUUAUCUUUUCUAUUCUCAGUUGAAAAUACUUAAGAUUUGCUUUAUAAAUACCACAAUUAUCUUAACACUCUUCAGAGCUUAUGACCCAUAUGACCUCAUCUCUAAUUUCAUACAAAAUCUCCAUAAGCUGUAUACCAUAUAAUGAAAGAAUCAGACAAAUAGUGUAAAUGUGUAUUUUAAGUAUUCUAAGCAAGAAAAAGAGAGUUGAAAAAGUGUAUGUUUCUCAAAAGGUAAAAAUAUGUGAAUACAGAGAAAACACUCUGAAGUAUUUAUGUUGCAUAUCUAACUCUUGGGUAAGAUUCUCAAGGUUUAUAUUCCAUGUUGCAGACAUAGCUAAGCUUAACAUGGGUGAGGACCCGGCUUGAUCUACUAGCAACACCCACCCCACCCACCUCAAAUAAAAAGGAAUUAAAGAAUUGGACUGUCCUUUUAAUGUUAAAGCUAAUGGUAGAAGGGUAAUUUCUUCCUAGACAAUAAAAAGAGUAUUAUAUAGACUUGUAUAAAGUUUUUAAAAGGUGGGUUAUAGAACAAAAUUUUAAAAAGAUAGUUUUCCUUCUGAUAUGUUUUGUUUUUCUGAAUGAUUCAUUGAAUGCAGUUUCAGCAAAACUAGAAAGCUCAAAUGACUUUAAAGAAAUGCUGAGACAACUCAGUAUGUAUGAAAUUGUUUUUAUAAGUUUCUCUGUAUAAGUGCCUAUUUUUAAAAUUAAAAACAGUUCAAGUUUAGAAAUGAAUGUGAAAUCAAGCUUCAGUAUAUUUACUGAAAAUUACAAUGGAAAAGAUACCUAGGAAAUACAUAUUUGAAGACAGAUAUGAAGUACUUAAACCAUAAAUACCUUUAGCUGUGUUUAUGAUAAUGCUCUUAAUCAUUACUAGGGGCAUGUGUCAUUUAAGUAUAGACUAGGCAAUUAAAUGGUAUUUUGAUGAACUUGCAGAAUGAAAUAUAAAUCUACACAUUAAAACCAAUACUUGGAAAUCUUUUCAGGUGUUUUUAAAAUUAUUUUAGCAUCUAUAAUUUAUUCUAAGACACAAGCUUAAGUUUUUUUUAAUAAACUAUAGAUUAUUUUCUUAGAAUUGGCAAUCUAUUAUUUUAGUAAACAUAUAAUAAAGAUGUACAUACAAAACCGAUUCUGUAAGGUUCUUUCCUUAAAGGAGUACAGUAUAAGCCACGCGUGAUGGCAUGCCUUUGUUCCUGCUACUUGGGAGGCUGAGGUAAAAAAGAUCUCUUAAUCCUAAAAGUUUUAGACUAAUCUGGACAAGAGGGUUAGACUAUAUCUGAGAAAAAAAAAAACCAAAAAAACCUAGAACCAUCUAUACUUGGAACCUUGUACCUUGGGACUGUUAAGAGAUAUACUGAAACCAAAACAUAAAUUUAAAUCAUCUUUAUUGACACAAUCGUGGAGAGAACAACUAUUAAAACAAACAAACAAAAAACCCUGAAAGUUUGAUACAUUGGAAUAGCUGGUACUUAACAUAGUUUAGGUUUAUAAGGUUUUAGGUUAACAGGAACAAAAAUCUUCCACUUAAAUAAGCUAAUGAUUUCGGAUAUUAUAGUUUAAACUAUAAUUUACUAAAGGCAUGCCUCUUAGCUAAUGUUUUAAUUGUAUCAUAUUACAUAGGUUCAAGUUCUUUCUUCAAAGACUCAUCAGAAUAACAUGGAUUGAAGAGACUUUCGAACAUUUGCCAUCUCUUGCUGCUGCUGUUUCAUGAAAGGAGAUAUGAAACAUGUUUAAUUUUUAGUUAAAUGUUAUAAAAUUUUCAGCAAAUAAAACAUUUCAGUGCCUCCAUUAAUUCAUAUUUCUGCAAUAUAAAAUAGAACUUACAGUUUCCAUCAUAACUUUUUUUUGCAACAUAGCCAUUUCUUUUUUAAGUUCACUUUGUGUGCCAGUAAAUAGAUUAUCAUUAUUCUUUUCCACAUCUUCCAAACUCUAAAAUACAAAAAGGCCACUUUAGUUAUAAUCUGUAACUUUUAACCAGAGGCUCUAAAUUUUAAAAUCUUUUAAAAGUAAAAAUAUUUUCAUUAUUCAGAAAAUGCUCAUUAUUUAUCCCAAAAUUCUAAGUAACUCAUAUAGACCAAAUUUCCCACUAUAAAGAAGUAAAUAUAUCACACAUUAAUCAAAUACAAUUAAAGUACAACAGUAACAUAAUUUCCCAAAACAAUAGUUUAAUGAACUAGAUUCAGGUGAUAAAAAAGAAAAUGGGAAAGGUAGCUAAACAAGAUGGGAGAAUUGCAAAUUUGAGGCUAGUCUGGGCAAUGUAUAAUCUUGUCUCAAAAGAGUAAGAAAAAUAAAAUCUAGAAAGAUUACAAGGUCUAUAUACAAUAUAUACAAUUUAAAAUUUUUCUAGUAAGUUUCUUAAGACAUCUGAGCAUAAUCUAUUGUGACUAAAAGUCAACAUGACUUAAAUUCACAAAAGGGAAUAAAAUAUCUAUAGUAUCAAGUUAUAAGGAAAAAAUUAUUAGAUAUUAAAAAAUUAUUACAUUUUCAUUCAUUUAGAGGACAACUCGUGGGUACUAGGUUCUCUUCUUCUAGCAUAUGGGUCCCAUAGAUUGAACUCUGCCCUAGUAUUUUUUUUUUUCAAGACAAGGUCUCAUAAUAUAAAGGCAAGGCUCACCUCAAACUUCCUAUUCCUGUCUCAGGUUUAGAGGAAUGUGCCAUAACACCUAGCUAAAAAGUUUUUUAAAAUUUAGUACUCAUUCACCAAAUAUAUAGUAUCCUAUUGCCUAUUAUGUAGAAAAUACUGUUCUGUGGAGAACUAAAAAAAAAAAGUAAUAUAUGAGUGUUUUCUUUUUUUCUAAUCAUAAAAAUUAUGUAAGCAACAUAAUUUUAUAAGAAUGGAAAUUUAACUCCUGUAGCUAUCUAAUGGAACAUAUGAAUAAUUCCUGUUUAGUUAAACAAAAAGUAUACUAUUUUAUUAAUUAAAAGGGAACUUAGCUGGGCAUGGUGGCGCACGCCUUUAAUCCCAGCACUCGGGGAGGCAGAGGCGGGCAGAUUUCUGAGUUCAAGGCCAGCCUGGUCUACACAGUGAGUUCCAGGACAGCCAGGGCUAUACAGAGAAACCCUGUCUCAAAAAAAAAAGGGGGGGGAGACUUAAGGGCUGGAGAAAUGGCUUAGCCGUUAAGAGCACUGACUUCUCUUCCAUAGGUCCUGAGUUCAAUUCCCAGCAACCACAUGGUGGCUCACAACCAUCUGUAAUGGGAUCCUAUGCCCUCUUCUGGUAUGUCUGAAGAUAGCUAUAGUGUACUCAUAUAAAUAAAAUAAAUCUUACAAAAAGAGGGUGGGGAGACUUAAAAUAGUCUAGAGGAAUCAUAUAACCAAAGCAUGGAAAUACGUUAAGUCUGUGGACUCAGAGAAAGCAAUUAUGUAGAGAGUUUAGAGUAAUGUACACGUACAGUUUGUACAACUAAAAAUUUAGAAGGACAACUACCACUCAGGAAGGAGAUGUUUUAUUUAGGUUAUAUGGCAGAAUCAAAGAAUAGACUGAAGAAAAGAGUUUUAAUAGGACAAAGUGUGAUGAGAAAGUGAAACAGUACAAGCAAGAAUGAACAAAUGUAUUAAACAGCAGGAAUUAAAGGAAUAAUGAACCACUGUAGAGGUAAGAAUUCUAGGAUUUAAUAAAAAUAUUAAUAAAGGAUAAAAAGGAUAUGAAAAGCAGGGUUUUAAUCCCAGCACUCAGGAGACAAAGGUAGGCAGAUCUCUAAGUUCAAGGCCAGCCUGGUCUACAGAGUUAAGUUCCAGGACAGCCAGUACUACACAGAGAAACCUUUCUUUUUUUAAAAAAAAAAAAAAAAAAAAAAAAAAAAAAACAGAUAUGGAGGAGUUAAAAUUAUAUUGAAGUUUUUACCAAAAUGGUAACAUCUAGUGAUAAUAUUAGAGGAAAUCUUUUUUUAAGUACUUCCUCAAGUCAUACCAAUUAAAUUGUUCUUAAGGAGUUUUUUAGAGCAAGCUGACAAGGUCUCUUGGAAAUACUUAAAAUUAACUUUUCUGUUCAUAUUUACCUUUAAAACUACUUACUACUAGGGAAAAGUUUUCUAGUAUACAUAUGGGUCAAAAGUUAAUUCUCAACUUACAAACUUUUAAUCUUCAACUGUGUUAAAUUUUGGGUUAACCCCUCUCAUAUAUAAGUUGGCAUAUAAAGUCAUUGUUGUCAACUGGAAUAAUUCUAAAAGCUAAUAUGCCAGAAAAGACCUAUAAUACAUUUGAAAAUAAGGAAAUAAUUCCAGUGGUUGCUUCCUAUUGAAAACACACUGGGAAUACAUGUAGAAAAGACUACAGAAAUAACUUAUAGACUUACUAUUUUCAGUUAAGCAGCACAAUGGCUAAAAAAUGUUAUUUAAUAAAGUAUGGACUUAAUGUAUAAGAACUUUUUAAGGUAAAAUUCCUACUUUUCUAUUUCCUGUCUUGAAUAAUCUUCAUAGGACAUUAGAAUUUUACAGUUGACAACAAUGACUUUAUAUGCCAACUUAUGUAUGAGUCACAAACCAUUCAAAAUAGAAAUUCUAAAAAUUAAAACAUAUUUCCCAUGAAUUUGCAAAAAAACCAAUACUUAAAUUAUGGUUUAUAAGAACAUAUCUUAGGGGCAAGAGAUGGCUCAGUGGGUAAGAAUACUUGUUCUUAUAGAAGACUUAGGUUUGAUUACCAGCACCCACGUGGCAGGUCACAACCGUCUGUAACUUUAGUUUUAAAGAAUCUACUACCCUUUUCUGACCUCUGUGGGCAGUAAACAUGUACAUGGUGUACAGACAUACAUACAAAAACACUCAGAUACAGUAUUUCAAAAAGAACGUAAGUUAGCUGGGUGUGGUGGCACACACAUUUGACACCAUCACUUGGGAAGAAAAGGCAAAAGAAUCUCUGUGAGUUUGAAGCCAGCCUAGUCUACAAAGCAAGUUCUAGGCCAGCCAGGCAAUUUAGUGAGUCCUAUUUCAAACAAAAACAUAUGUUAUUAUGUAUAACUCACCUUUAUGAACUGCUCGUGUAUCUGUUUGAUUGCUUUCAUUCUCUGGCUCUGAACAAUUCUAGACUGCUGAAAAAUCUUUUGUUGUUGUCGAAAAAGAUUCUAUAAACAUUAAAAAAAAAACGUAAUAA